rnacentral:rRNA from 1 species
GACGAGGGGUCCUAGCGUUGUUCGGAAUCAUUGGGCGUAAAGCGGGUGUAGGUGGCUUUGUAAGUCAGGAGUGAAAUCCCCGAGCUUAACUUGGGAAGUGCUUUUGAAACUGCAAAGCUUGAAUGUGGGAGAGGAUCGUGGAAUUCCAGGUGUAGUGGUGAAAUACGUAGAUAUCUGGAGGAACACCGGUGGCGAAGGCGGCGAUCUGGCCCAACAUUGACACUGAGACCCGAAAGCGUGGGGAUCAAACAGG